rnacentral:rRNA from 1 species
AUUGAACGCUGGCGGCAGGCCUAACCCAUGCAAGUCGAGCGGAGCGGCGGACGCGUGAGUAAUGCCUAGUAAUCUGCCUGGUAGUGGGGGAUAACGUCCGGAAACGGGCGCUAAUACCGCAUCCUAUCAGAUGAGCCUAGGUGGGAGUAGCUAUCUGGUGGGGUAAAGGCCUACCAAGGCGACGAUCCGUAACUGGUCUGAGAGAAUGAUCAGUCAGACUGGAACUGGGGCACGGUCAGAGGUCCUGAGUGAGGCGGCAGUUGGGAAUAUUGGACAAUGGGCGAAAGCCUGAUCCAGACAUGCCGCGUGUGAGAAGAGGGUAUUCAGAUUGUAAGGCACUUUAAGUUGGGAGGCGUUACCAACAGAAUAAGCACCGGCUAACUUCGUGCCAGCAGCCGCGGUAAUAC